AUACGGAGGGUGCAAGCGUUAAUCGGAAUUACUGGGCGUAAAGCGUACGUAGGCGGCAAGUUAAGUUAGAUGUGAAAGCCCCGGGCCCAACCGGGGAACUGCAUUUAAAACUGGCGAACUAGAGUUGAGUAGAGGGGAGUGGAAUUUCAGGUGUAGCGGUGAAAUGCGUAGAGAUCUGAAGGAACACCAGUGGCGAAGGCGACUCCCUGGACUCGAACUGACACUGAGGUACGAAAGCGUGGGUAGCAAACGGGAUUAGAAACCCUAGUAGUCC
rnacentral:rRNA from 1 species